rnacentral:rRNA from 1 species
CAGUCGCCACGGGAAUACGAAGGGUGCAAGCGUUACUCGGAAUUACUGGGCGUAAAGCGUGCGUAGGUGGUGGUUUAAGUCCGUUGUGAAAGCCCUGGGCUCAACCUGGGAAUUGCAGUGGAUACUGGGUCACUAGAGUGUGGUAGAGGAUAGUGGAAUUUCCGGUGUAGCAGUGAAAUGCGUAGAGAUCGGAAGGAACAUCUGUGGCGAAGGCGACUAUCUGGGCCAACACUGACACUGAGGCACGAAAGCGUGAGGAGCAAACAGGAUUAGAUACCCCAGUAGUCCCUGUCUCUUAUAC